UACGUAGGGUGCGAGCGUUAAUCGGAAUUACUGGGCGUAAAGCGUGCGCAGGCGGUUUUGUAAGCCAGAUGUGAAAUCCCCGGGCUUAACCUGGGAAUGGCAUUUGGGACUGCAAGGCUGGAGUGUGGCAGAGGAGACUGGAAUUCCUGGUGUAGCAGUGAAAUGCGUAGAUAUCAGGAGGAAUACCGAUGGCGGAGGCAGGUCUCUGGGCUGACACUGACGCUCAUGCACGAAAGCGUGGGGAG
rnacentral:rRNA from 1 species